rnacentral:rRNA from 1 species
CAAGCGUUAAUCGGAAUUACUGGGCGUAAAGCGCACGCAGGCGGUCUGUCAAGUCGGAUGUGAAAUCCCCGGGCUCAACCUGGGAACUGCAUUCGAAACUGGCAGGCUAGAGUCUUGUAGAGGGGGGUAGAAUUCCAGGUGUAGCGGUGAAAUGCGUAGAGAUCUGGAGGAAUACCGGUGGCGAAGGCGGCCCCCUGGACAAAGACUGACGCUCAGGUGCGAAAGCGUGGGGAGCAAACAGGAUUAGAUACCCUGGUAGUCCACGCUGUAAACGAUGUCGAUUUGGAGGUUGUGCCCUUGAGGCGUGGCUUCCGGAGCUAACGCGUUAAAUCGACCGCCUGGGGAGUACGGCCGCAAGGUUAAAACUCAAAUGAAUUGACGGGGGCCCGCACAAGCGGUGGAGCAUGUGGUUUAAUUCGAUGCAACGCGAAGAACCUUACCUGGUCUUGACAUCCACAGAACUUUCCAGAGAUGGAUUGGUGCCUUCGGGAACUGUGAGACAGGUGCUGCAUGGCUGUCGUCAGCUCGUGUUGUGAAAUGUUGGGUUAAGUCCCGCAACGAGCGCAACCCUUAUCCUUUGUUGCCAGCGGUUAGGCCGGGAACUCAAAGGAGACUGCCAGUGAUAAACUGGAGGAAGGUGGGGAUGACGUCAAGUCAUCAUGGCCCUUACGACCAGGGCUACACACGUGCUACAAUGGCAUAUACAAAGAGAAGCGACCUCGCGAGAGCAAGCGGACCUCAUAAAGUAUGUCGUAGUCCGGAUUGGAGUCUGCAACUCGACUCCAUGAAGUCGGAAUCGCUAGUAAUCGUAGAUCAGAAUGCUACGGUGAAUACGUUCCCGGGCCUUGUACACACCGCCCGUCACACCAUGGGAGUGGGUUGCAAAAGAAGUAGGUAGCUUAACCUUCGGGAGGGCGCUUACCACUUUGUGAUUCAUGACU